UGUAUAUUCGUCUGCCAGACGGGCAGCCUCGGGUAAGGUAGAGGGUUUUCUAUCUCUGACCCACUCUCUGACCCCGGCAGGUAAUCUGUCGAAGCAGUGUUCCAGCAAAAACACCUGCAGCACCUCUUCCCCAGUUACCGCUUGGCAUCCUGCCAUCCAGUGGGCUGCGGUACGGUGGACCCUGCAGGCAUGGGCGUCCGCAG